rnacentral:rRNA from 1 species
AUUGAACGCUGGCGGCAGGCCUAACACAUGCAAGUCGAACGGUAACAGGAAGCAGCUUGCUGCUUCGCUGACGAGUGGCGGACGGGUGAGUAAUGUCUGGGAAGCUGCCUGAUGGAGGGGGAUAACUACUGGAAACGGUAGCUAAUACCGCAUAAUGUCGCAAGACCAAAGAGGGGGACCUUCGUGCCUCUUGCCAUCGGAUGUGCCCAGAUGGGAUUAGCUUGUUGGUGGGGUAACGGCUCACCAAGGCGACGAUCCCUAGCUGGUCUGAGAGGAUGACCAGCCACACUGGAACUGAGACACGGUCCAGACUCCUACGGGAGGCAGCAGUGGGGAAUAUUGCACAAUGGGCGCAAGCAUGAUGCAGCCAUGCCGCGUGUAUGAAGAAGGCCUUCGGGUUGUAAAGUACUUUCAGCGGGGAGGAAGGGAGUAAAGUUAAUACCUUUGCUCAUUGACGUUACCCGCAGAAGAAGCACCGGCUAACUCCGUG